GGGGUCUCGCCAUGUUGGUUAAGCUGGUCUCGAACUCCUGGCCUCAAGUGAUCCGCCUGCAUCGGCCUCCCAAAGUGCUGGGAUCACAGCCAUGAGCCACUAGGCCUGGCCUGUUGUUGUUGAUAAAUUCUUAAAAUAAGAUUUUGGUUUUGGUUUUAUAUUUGUCACUUGUGAUCAUAAAACUUAAUUAGGGCUCACCAAAUACUGAAUCAUGCUGUUCUCCAAAGUGACUUUUAGAAACUCUUUCGGGUUUCCCAGGGUAGGGGAGUAGGAGGGAUGGGUGCCUUGUGGUUCAGAACGGUGGCUUUGAAGCAAGAGCUACCGUUUGCCGCAACAGCUGGGUGACUAUGCAAUGACCUUGCACCUCUCAGUUUCCUCAUCUGUACAAUGGGCACAAUCAUAGUUCCUACCUCGUAGGGUUGUCAGGAUUCUAAGACAACACAGAACAGUGUCUAUCCCAUAGUCAGUGCUAAGAAGUAUAAAGCAUCCUCUUUCCCUGCCUCCCUUCCAUACUCCCAUCUCCCCUCGCAGAACAAUUGAAACCUAAGGUAUGCUGGGAGUAGGGGGCAGCCAAGGCAGUAAAAGUGGGAGACAGGUUACAUCCAGGAGGAUUGACCACAUCAGUGAAUACAGUAAGGAUCAUGGGGCCAGGCUUCUCCCUGUUGGAGAAAGGAGCUACAAAUAUGGAAGAGGAGAAAACCAGGAGGGACUCCUUAUGG
rnacentral:lncRNA from 10 species